rnacentral:rRNA from 1 species
GCACUUUUAGAUGGACCUGCGGCACAUUAGCUAGUUGGUGAGAUAACAGCCCACCAAGGCGAGGAUGUGUAGCCGACCUGAGAGGGUGACCGGCCACAAUGGGACUGAGACACGGCCCAUACUCCUACGGGAGGCAGCAGUAGGGAGUUUUCGGCAAUGGGCGCAAGCCUGACCGAGCAACGCCGCGUGAGUGAGAAGGUCUUCGGAUUGAAUAGCUCUGUUACGAGGGAGAAAUAUCCGUGGUAGGAAAUGACCGCGGCUUGAUAGUACCUCGCCAGAAAGCACCGGCUAACUUCGUGCCAGCAGCCGCGGUAAUACGAAGGGUGCAAGCGUUAUCCGGAAUUAUUGGGCGUAAAGAGUGAGCAGGCGGCAUGGCAAGUCUGAGGUGAAAGCGUGGAGCUCAACUCCAUACAGCCUUGGAAACUACCAAGCUAGAGUGCUUGAGAGGUAAACGGAACUCCAUGUGUAGCGGUGAAAUGCGUAGAUAUAUGGAAGAACACCAGUGGCGAAGGCGGUUUACCAGCAAUGCACUGACGCUCAGUCACGAAAGCGUGGGGAGCAAAUAGGAUUAGAUACCCUAGUAGUCCACGCCGUAAACGAUGAUGACUAACUAUUCCUAUUAUGGAGUGGUGAAGCUAACGCAUUAAGUCAUCCGCCUGGGGAGUACGGCCGCAAGGCUGAAACUUAAAGGAAUUGACGGGACCCCGCACAAGUAGUGGAGCAUGUGGUUUAAUUCGAUGCUACGCGGAAAACCUUACCAGGGAUUGCAUAUGAUUACUACCUUCUUAGAGAUAAGAAGAGACUAUAAAUACAGGUGGUGCAUGGUUGUCGUCAGCUCGUGUCGUGAGAUGUUGGGUUAAGUCCCGCAACGAGCGCAACCCUUGUCGUUAGUUACCAGCAUUCAGUUGGGGACUCUAGCGAGACUGCCGAUGUAAAUCGGAGGAAGGUGGGGAUGACGUCAAAUCAGCAUGCCCUUUAUGUCCUGGGCUACACACGUGCUACAAUGGCGACUACAAAGAGAUGCAAUAUCGCGAGAUGGAGCUAAUCCCAUAAAGGUCGUCUCAGUUCAGAUUGGAGUCUGCAAUUCGACUCCAUGAAGGCGGAAUUACUAGUAAUCGCGGAUCAGCAUGCCGCGGUGAAUACGUUCCCGGGGUUUGUACACACCGCCCGUCAAACCAUGAGAGGUGGCAAUGCUUGAAGCCGCUGUCCUAACCGUAAGGAGGGAGGCGUCUAGGGCAGGGCUGCUGAUUGGGGUUAAGUCGUAACAAGGUAUCCCUACGGGAACGUGGGGAUGGAUCACCUCCUU